rnacentral:rRNA from 1 species
UACGUAGGGUGCGAGCGUUGUCCGGAAUUAUUGGGCGUAAAGGGCUCGUAGGCGGUUUGUCGCGUCGGGAGUGAAAACUCAGGGCUUAACCCUGAGCCUGCUUCCGAUACGGGCAGACUAGAGGUAUGCAGGGGAGAACGGAAUUCCUGGUGCAGCGGUGAAAUGCGCAGAUAUCAGGAGGAACACCGGUGGCGAAGGCGGUUCUCUGGGCAUUACCUGACGCUGAGGAGCGAAAGUGUGGGGAGCGAACAGG